rnacentral:rRNA from 1 species
AGCGUGGGGAUCAAACAGGAUUAGAUACCCUGGUAGUCCACGCCGUAAACGAUGAGUGCUAAGUGUUAGGGGGUUUCCGCCCCUUAGUGCUGCAGCUAACGCAUUAAGCACUCCGCCUGGGGAGUACGACCGCAAGGUUGAAACUCAAAGGAAUUGACGGGGACCCGCACNGCGGUGGAGCAUGUGGUUUAAUUCGAAGCAACGCGAAGAACCUUACCAAAUCUUGACAUCCUUUGACCGCUCUAGAGAUAGAGUNUUCCCCUUCGGGGGACAAAGUGACAGGUGGUGCAUGGUUGUCGUCAGCUCGUGUCGUGAGAUGUUGGGUUAAGUCCCGCAACGAGCGCAACCCUUAAGCUUAGUUGCCAUCAUUAAGUUGGGCACUCUAAGUUGACUGCCGGUGACAAACCGGAGGAAGGUGGGGAUGACGUCAAAUCAUCAUGCCCCUUAUGAUUUGGGCUACACACGUGCUACAAUGGACAAUACAAAGGGCAGCUAAACCGCGAGGUCAAGCAAAUCCCAUAAAGUUGUUCUCAGUUCGGAUUGUAGUCUGCAACUCGACUACAUGAAGCUGGAAUCGCUAGUAAUCGUAGAUCAGCAUGCUACGGUGAAUACGUUCCCGGGUCUUGUACACACCGCCCGUCACACCACGAGAGUUUGUAACACCCGAAGCCGG